UAUGACCAUAUGAAGUUGAAAUACCGGUUCUUGUAUGAUCAUCGACGUUAAGCAACGUCAAACUUAGUCAGUACCUAGAUGGGUGAUCGCUUAGGAAUACCAGGUGCUGUAAG